ensembl:lncRNA
GCAGGUCGGCCCUGGGGAACUGCGCAUUGGAGAGAGGAGGGCCGAGGUUGUGCGGGACGGAGCGGGUGGGGGUGUCGCACAGAGCCUGAGGUGGAAAGGUGGUGAGGUGAGGAGGAAGCCCCCACUGUGUGCAGCAGUCGUGGCACCCCCAUCUGGUCACCGGCGGAACUGAGACAAACCAUCUCCAGGUACUUUGUGGCGUCUGAGCACCAGAACCAGCACGGACAGACUUUGACACACCAAUGCAAAGGGUCUCUCCAACAGGAAAAGGCUUGCGAGGUGUCAGAACGCCAGAAGGCCUUUUUACAGUGCCACAUCAGAGAGACAAAAUAAAGAGUAGAUUGACCCAUGACCGGAGCCAUUUUCACCUCGGCACGGACCACCUGGAAAAGCAAUGAGUUAAUGUGAACUACCAUUUAUGCAACUUCCCCCCCUAGCCCCUUAACUUAGGAGCAAUUCUGCUGUCACUCAACUCUCAAACAAAGCUCAGUGUUUGGAGAGAUUUACAGGGGACCUGCAAUAAUGUAAGUCAGUAUAUUUACUACUGUAUGUACAAAAAUAGCUCUUGUAUAUUUUCAGUGCAGUGCUUCACCUACCAUAACAUUGAUGGCCAAGAUUGUUUAAAACUGGUGAAUGAAAAUGUUAUUUUUUUAAUAAGCUGAACAUUAUACUUCUAAACAGAACUACUAGCAUAACUGUCUUUAGCUGUUUUAUUCAGAUUAAAAAUACAGCAGUUCUGUGUAAAAUGAAGCAGCAAGAAUGUGUUGUAAAAGUCAGCUGAAAAAGAGAUAAUUAGUUCUAUCAUAUGUCAACUGUUGUUUCCUUGAUGGCAUCAAGAAGAAAAAAGUGUUCUAAAUUCUAAAAACUCUUAUUAUCUUUCCCCUUGUCUGUAAUGUUCCACCACCUACUUUGACCUCCUUCAGUCCUGGCUUAUUGAACAUUGCCUGGGAGGACUAUCAAUGCGAAACCAGGCCAGCGCUGGGAGAUGAUGAAAUCCGUCCCCCCGUCCUUCCUCGUGUUGACUUGAAGUUUCACAGGCUGUUGGCAGGGCCGGCGGUUGGAGGCGCCGUGGGCUGCGAAGGCUUUGAGUGUGACCUCAUGUUCCAUUCUGUUUCUAUGCCGCUGCGCCUCGGCUCUCUGUCCUCCCCGGGCCAAUACUUCACUGCAGCUCCAACAACUGCUGUGGGACACUGAACAUCUGUAAGCCACCGCUCCUACGCGGCCGCCUCUGCUUUCUGUGCAGCGAGUGUGACUUUGCAGCACGGCCUGUGAGGCGGUGUGCAGCGCGCUUUGAUGCCGGCCAUAGCUGGUACCAGUUGCGAGCCGCCGCGUCCGUGUUUGCACAGCUUGCCUUUUGCGUCGGGGACUUUUUCUGUGCCGCACGUCUGUGAGAGCAAAUGAAUUAGGAAACUGGUGUGUUAACUAUACAAGAGAGAGUGUUGAU